GUUUUGUUCUCUUGCGGGUUAGGUAGCUAACCACGUUUAUUUUUUUGAUUAAGUGUAUUGAUGCACGUUUUCUUUGCUAAAUAUGUUUUAUAGUUGGAUUGAGUUAUCUUGUCAGCGAGUAUAAAAUGGGAAGCUAGCUAUACGUUUGGCAGUGCUAGUUGGCCAGCCGUCCUGGAUUACUCAGACACCGUCCACGUCGCCAUUUUGUCACGGACACUAGCUAGCUAGCUUUCUGGAAUCGGGCGACUUGUUUGUGGUGAUUCUAGUUCACGAACGUUUGCAUUUUUAAACGUUAUUUUUUCUGAUUCGCAAUUUUGCAUUAUGUCUUGUGAUUUUUUAAUGUAGGGUGUCACUGGGAAUAUAAACGUGGCUCCCUGACGUUAACGUUACCUACCUAACAAACGUUAGUUAAAAUAGCUGCAGAAGUUUGCUUUUCUGGUUUGCAUGAUGGCUAACUAGCUAUACAACAGAGAAGCAAAUUAACAAAUGAAGUAAACAUGUGUCUAAUAGAGGUAGUUUAAACUGAAAACCAGGUAACUUUAAUGUGAGCAAGCUCUUUAAGCUACACGUAAGUCAUCCAACUGCUACUUAGUGUAACUCCAACUAUGUUAGCUGUGUUAACGUUUGUUGUGAGCUAUUUAGGGUUUUCCUGCCUGACUUAUUAACUAACAGGCUAAAUGAACACGUUAUCUAUCUUUAUCCGCAUGUUUUGCAUUUCCAAUCCGCACUUUAUUCCUUGAUCCUCAGUCGUUUGCAUCACACAGCGGUUGAAUGAAUUUAUAUAAAGCUGACAACGUGGUGUCGUUGAAGCGGCUGGAUAAGGGUAAUUACUGCGAUUCAGUGAAAUCUCAAAUUCAGAGGGGAAAAAAAAGUUUUAACUUUUUGCUAUUUUAAGAAGCAUGUUUAAAGUCAUUUAACUUGCUAGGUUGCGUCUGCCUAUUUUAGCCAACACAAAUCUGCACACGCUUAAAUAAUUUAUGUGUACUUCAAAGCCUCGUUAUUCUUCUUUGCAGACCAUUUACACAGCGUACAGUUGCGGCAUUGUCAAUUUUAUAGUGGCAUAUUUGCUCAGGAAAAUUGAGUUGAAGUUAAAAGGAAAUAUUUCAGUGUCUCACCUCCUAGGGUUCAAACCUUCGACUUGUCUACGCGUUCUUGUACCCCAACAAGGAUGUUUCUUUGUCUUGCUGGUUUAAACGAGCUGGUUGGUAUGAUAUGCAUUCACUGACAAUCACAUUUGAAAUCUGGCAAAUGUAUGUGCUAUUUUGCUAUUCCCUAAUUUCGUUGAAUUUAGAUGAUAGUAAAAACGUACCUGUUGCCUGUCUCGACAGCAGAAUAUUUUAAAAGAAUUGCCAUGUUAAUAAAUUAUUAAUUAGGAGCAUUGACCUUGCGUCCCACAAUUAAAGGCCUGCGUUUCUAUUUAAGUCUACUGGGUAAUAUACCUGUGCUACAUAAUUCUGACAGAAUUUUUGAAUGUGUUGGAGGAAAAUUGGCUUAACUGAGGUACAGUGGUAGCAAAGAGAUUUGAUUCAAUAGUCGGGUCCAUCUGCACAGGAUCUUGGCUUGAUGAAUUUCUGUAAGGACAUUAACUUGUGGUAGUGUCCUGCUGUGUGUGAUGUGGUGGGACUCUAGCCUUUUGUUUCUGGUGUAUUUUAGAGAGUGCCCUGUGUUAUUCCCAGCCUUCGUCAGUACGCGCUCCUUGCCGACUGUCAGGAAUACUCGCUGGCCGGUGUGAUUCGUUGCCUUCCCUUUGUGAUUGUAUUCCAGAUCUAUGUGUAGAGCAGGAUAAUUGACAUACGGAGAGACUUCCAUUCAUGGAGGCUAUGGGUUUAGGGAAUGGUCAAAACUUAGAACAGGACUGAAAAAUGGUCAAAAGUUUUAAGUUUAUUUGUAAAGUUGGUGAUCAUGUCUGUGACAUGAAGCCUUUUCCUGGUUCUGAUUUUUUAAUCCAAUAUCUUUCAGUGUCUUCCGCUCAAUUAAAUGGGCAGUCUGUUUUAGGGAGAGGCACUGUAUUGCUUUGGUAGUGAUUGCUCUUUAAAAUUUAAGUUUGUUGAAAGCUGUCCUUUGGUCCAUCUGUAAUAGAGCUGAUUCUCCCCCACACUACGUACCGAGCUCAGGAGGUUGCCAGACAGUGUUUUUAAUUUAGCUUUGCAGGCUUGAGUAUCACCUUUGUACUCAAGCCCAAUGGUUUCACAAACUCGGUCCCCCUGUGUAUGCUGGCUUUCAUGCCAACCAUAAUUGCAGUCCCAUAAUUUUAACAAGCUGUAAUAUUUUAUGAAGUACUCCUGUAAUGUUUAGAGAGAUUAUUUACCCUAUUUAGACGCAUUAUGUCAGAAAUAGCUAUGCAUGUCAUGAAGAAUAAAAGUCUACAUUCACGUUAUGCUAUAUUGUAAACUAGAUGUAAAAAAUUUUAACUCAUCAAAUUAAAGACUGAGGUGAACUGGUAGGCUGCUAACUGUGGACUUAUGCCCACUAAAACAAACCAUUUUGUAGAAAAUUAAGAAUUAAAAGACAAAGCCAAUGACAAGUGAAACCUGCAUUGUGUUUAUGCAUUUAAGGAAAAAAAUGAAAGAACUUGCAUGUGUUCAGCAACCUAAUUCAGAGGCUAUUGAAGCACUGCAGUCUUUAAUUUGGUUGAUUAAGAAAUUUGACUUCUUCAUGCAAUUGUUUGCAGUAUAGCACAAUAAGUGCAGUGUGAUCAUGGGAUUCUUAAUGGCAGAACAAUUUCUGUCAUAAUGUGGAUUAAGAGGGUAAAUAAUCCGUCUUAACAGCACCUAAUUAAGAAAAAUUAACAGCAUGUCAAGAUUCCGGGUUUGCUAUUGUGGUCAGCACAAAAAGCAGAAUACACAGGGGUCCCCUAGGACCAAGUUUGAGAACCACUGCUCUAGCCUACACCGCACACCAUAGGAAAAACAAGUUGGUCUUUUUGGUGUUAAUCUUGAAGUGUUAUUUAAUUUUAAUCAUGCAUAUGCGUAAAUGGGCUCAAUAUUUUUUUGUGCAUGUUCAGUGUACAUUUGAUUCUGAAUUUUGUUGUUCAUGUCUUCAUAUCUAACUUCUUAGUCACAGAUUACUUGACUUCAGUGAGAGUUCCUGCCACAACAUGUGGCACCAGAGGCUAAAUCAAGGGAAGCAGUAACAGAAUUGGCAGGAUUCACGAUUGGCAGGACAUGAUUCACGAUUUCACGAGGACAUGAAAAAUUGGCAGAAAUAAUGUGUGAGGACAUUUUCAAUUAUUUGGCUUACUCCCUCAGUGUGGUGCUAUUAUACACAGUUACAAAAUCACAGAUGUGCUGAUAAUAUAUGCAUUGUCACUAUAUGCCUGUCCUCCUCGCAAACUAGCUAGCUGUCAUUGUGUUAUGUAAUCUGUGUGUAUUUAUAAUUUUACUUUGUUCUUUGGCUAGCAUAGUAAACUUACAGUUGAGCUUUUGUUAUGUUGCACCUAUCCUUUCCAGUCUAGGAAUGUUGUCUUCCAGGUCUAGCACUAUUGUUAAUAUUAAUCAAGUGAAUGCAUUUAUGUUUCUCAUGUAUUGUAAAUUGCUCUGUGCAAGAUGAUCUGGAUUAGCCAAGAUAUUUCCAGUAUUCUAGGUGAAUGGCUCACUUACAAUGUUUUUUAAUGUGGUGAGGCAUUCUUUAACAUGGAUUAUCAUGCCUGAAUGCGAACAAUAAUAAUGUCUUCCAAGAAAGAUGAAAGAUUAGUCGCCGUCUCGAUUGCCAUCUGAGAUAAUGCUGGUUAAAAAGGGGACCUUCUGAAAUUUCAGUUCUCACUGUCUUGUAAAAAUAUUUAUCUGUGUCUUUGUGCAGUUUGGAACUUCCGCCUAAAUGUUUAAUCAAGGAAGAACCAACUGAAGGUCACCCAACAGAAAUUAUUUGUAAUCUUAACCAGUCCAUAUAUUUCUUGUCAACGCGUUUUCAUCUAGGGCUGAUAGCAUUUACUGGUAGUCUGCUGGGAUUUGAUGCAUUAGAUUGGUAGUUCUGGAUAGAAAUAUGGUAGCCCUGGGUGCCCGGGCUCUCGAUUUGGCCACCUUCUGAACCAUCAUGUGAUUAAAUGGUCCACUACAGAAUUUAUGGCCGUUGAAGACAUGAUCACAGCAUUUUGGAAUGGUGUUAAAAUUGUGGCUGUAUGUGUCUCUUCCUGUUUGCCUGACAUUUUUCGUUGCAUGCAAGAUAUUUUGACUUGCAGCAGAAAUGUUUUUUAUUUCAUACUUUCAUACAAGGGUUUUUGUUUCAAGGGUGUUAACUUGCGCUGUAUUAAAAAAUUUUUUAGAAAAAAAUGCAGUUUUUAAAAAAGCUGCAAUGAUGCUUGUCUCAAGUCAACCAUUUAUGUACAAGUUUACAAAAGCUGUGGACAUUCAUCGUCAGGUUCACGGGCUCUAAGGAACACAUUGGUGUGAUUGUGUUCUCAUUGAGAAGGGUUUAUUUAUGUGUUAAAGUGUUUGUUAAUUAAGUUUUUGCUGUUGAUAUUACGCUUGUACACACUGUUACAUUUCAUUUGCAUAUUAAAUAAUCUGGCUUCAUUUGCGCUGGAAGUGCUUUGCAUUUGUUUCAGUUUCAAUUAUGCAAAGAGCUUUAACUGCACUGAUUAAUCAUUUACUGUGCUGUGAAGAGAUCUUAGAUAUUGUGAAUUUGCAGUAAUGUCUUCGCCUAAUUAUCUACAUGAAAUAAACAUGAACAGCUUGUU